GACGAACGCUGGCGGCGUGCCUAACACAUGCAAGUGGAGCGACGAACCAGGCUUCGGCCUGGGGCAAAGCCGCGAACGGGUGAGUAACACGUGGGUAACCUGCCCCGACGACCGGGACAACCCGAGGAAACUCGGGCUAAUACCGGAUGUGCUCCCCACGCGAAAGCGUGGUGAGUAAAGGAAGCUUCGGCCUCCGCAUCGGGAGGGGCCCGCGGCCCAUUAGCUAGUUGGUGAGGUAACGGCUCACCAAGGCGACGAUGGGUAGCUGGUCUGAGAGGACGAUCAGCCACACUGGGACUGAGACACGGCCCAGACUCCUACGGGAGGCAGCAGUGGGGAAUCUUGCGCAAUGCGCGAAAGCGUGACGCAGCAACGCCGCGUGGGGGAAGAAGGCCUUCGGGUUGUAAACCCCUUUCAGGAGGGACGAAGGUGCGGCGGCGAAUAGCCGUCCGCACUGACGGUACCUCCAGAAGAAGCCCCGGCUAACUACGUGCCAGCAGCCGCGGUAAUACGUAGGGGGCAAGCGUUGUCCGGAAUCAUUGGGCGUAAAGCGCGCGUAGGCGGCCCGGUAAGUCCGCUGUGAAAGUCAAAGGCUCAACCUUUGAAUGCCGGUGGAUACUGCCGGGCUAGAGUCCGGAAGAGGCGAGUGGAAUUCCUGGUGUAGCGGUGGAAUGCGCAGAUAUCAGGAGGAACACCGAUAGCGAAGGCAGCUCGCUGGGACGGUACCGACGCUGAGGCGCGAAAGCGUGGGGAGCGAACAGGAUUAGAUACCCUGGUAGUCCACGCCGUAAACGAUGGGCACUA
rnacentral:rRNA from 1 species